rnacentral:rRNA from 1 species
GAUGAACGCUGGCGGUAUGCCUUACACAUGCAAGUCGAACGGGAAUUAACUUCGGUUAAUUCUAGUGGCGGACGGGUGAGUAACACGUGAGAAUUCGCCUUUAGGAGGGGGAUAACGAAUGGAAACAUUCGCUAAAACCCCAUAUGCCCCUGGGUGAAAAAGAGGAGAUAAGUUAAAAUAAUUCACCUCUGCCUGAAGAGAAGCUCGCGGCUGAUUAGCUAGUUGGUAGGGUAAUGGCCUACCAAGGCGACGAUCAGUAGCUGGUCUGAGAGGACGAUCAGCCACACUGGAACUGAGACACGGUCCAGACUCCUACGGGAGGCAGCAGUGAGGAAUUUUCUGCAAUGGGCGUAAGCCUGACAGAGCAAUACCGCGUGAGGGAUGAAGACUUACUGAGUUGUAAACCUCGGUGCCUUAAGGAAGAAGAUAUGACGGUACUUAAGGUGGAAAGCAUUGGCUAACUCCGUGCCAGCCGCCGCGGUAAUAC